rnacentral:misc_RNA from 1 species
GGAGCAUCUGGCACCGCUUGCGGUGUCCAGGCGCCUGAUUCGGACCGAACGUGUCCGACGGGUAGCUCAUGGGUGGAACAUUGACAGUGCAGUUGGGAGUGAUGCUUCCGACCUCAGUACGCUCUGCUUGCAGGGUUGGGACGGGUCGGGGUGGAGCUACUGGCUGGUGCACGUUGUUGGGUCCUGAGGGACCAGGCUUCCUGCUGUCACGUGAGUGGUGGUGGGGGUUGGGCCUACGGGUCCUUCGUCGGGCCAGGGUGAACCUUCCGUUGUGGUGGGGGAGUGCUGGUGCCGAUCGUAUGUUGAGAACUACACAGUGGACGCGAGCAUCUUUGAUUCGCGUCAUCCAUGAUCAGCCUUUUGGGUUGU